UACGUAGGCAGCAAGCGUUGUUCGGAAUUACUGGGCGUAAAGAGUGUGUAGGCGGUGCUCCAAGUCUGGUGUGAAAUCUCCCGGCUUAACUGGGAGGGUGCAUUAGAAACUGGAAUGCUAGAGGAUGGGAGAGGUAAGCGGAAUUCCUGGUGUAGCGGUGAAAUGCGUAGAUAUCGAGAGGAACACCAGUGGCGAAGGCGAGUCCCUGGACAACACCUGACACUGAGGCACGAAAGCUAGGGGAGCAAACAGG
rnacentral:rRNA from 1 species